AGCGUUGUUCGGAAUUACUGGGCGUAAAGCGCACGUAGGCGGAUACUUAAGUUAGGGGUGAAAUCCCAGGGCUCAACUCCAGAACUGCCUUUGAUACUGGCGAUCUUGAGUCCGGGAGAGGUGAGUGGAAUUCCGAGUGUAG
rnacentral:rRNA from 1 species